UUUCCCAGGUGAUGUCACAGUAAAAGAGAGAGAAAAAAGGUACAUGUGACACACGGACAUUUCAGGCUCUUCCUGUAUGUUAAUUAAUACACUUUUGGUUUGACUGAAAUACUAAGUUACUGAAGGCAGCUUUUUUCUUUCCUAAGAAGCUCAGCAAAGAUUUUACUCUAUCUCACAAAGUUUUGGGCUAAAAAUUUUGUACGGAGAACUUGCAGCUCUCCUAUAAGAACUUAUAUGGUUUAAUAAGAUUUGAAUAAAGAGUUAAAGUGAAGUAUAUAUUUGGAAAAAAAUGUUUUAUUGCAUGAGCACUUUAUCAACAUCUUCUCUACAUGUAAGGAUGAAGUUUGUGGGAAAAUCAUGCAUUAUUAAUCCUGAAUCAGUGAGGAAAUAUACAAACAGAAUGUAAGGAGAAACAUAAUCCACAGAAGUCAGAUUUAUUCUUCAACUUUUUCAUAUGAAAAUCUUUAAUUUUGUGAAAUGCUGUGACUAAGAUUUGACUUGUGUUUGAAUCUAGCAUAGUAUCUGGCACAAAAUAGGUAAGUGAUAGUGUUUAACUGAAUGAUGAUUUAAGGGUUUUGGGUAAGACAUCUUAUUAUACUAAGUUUCAUUUUUGCAGUAUAAAUCUUAAGGAAAAUUAUUUAUUUUUGUUCCUCAAAUGACUCUACUUUCACUUUAUUCUAGGUAAGCAAAAUUUUAUAAUGAAAGCACUAUUUAAACAGGGUAAGUUAGCUGAGAGGAAAAAACUGACUUUUUCUUAGACUCUGGUAACAGAAGUUGAACAUUAGAUGAAUGUUCUUUAUAAUUAAAACGUGUAGCACAUAUAAAAAAAUUCUCAAAUUCUAAAACCCUUUCCCUAUUCCACUUAAAGUACAUAAAAUUGGGAAAUAUCUUACUUGAAAAAGUGUUUCCCACCCCUCUCAGACGGGCUGCUAGUAGGUUGAUGAUCUUAUAAUUGAUGGCAUCUUAGAGUUGAUAAACAAUACUUAAAUAGUAGGAUACCUUCAUUUUUUCACAUGUGAAAAAUAUUGUCAUUGAAAUUGCCUGGCAAGUCUGUUUCUUCAUUUACGGAAUCCAAAAUAUAAACUAUGAAAUGCUUAUGGCUUUUCUUCAAUGUUUAAUAUCUGAAAAGGGUUUCUAGAUUUCUCAGAAGGCACUAUUUAAAUAAAACCAUUUUAUUAGCUUGAAAAAGAAGAAAGAGAAGGUGAAAAAAGUACAGUGAAGCUUUUUUUUAAAAAAAUCACAUAGUCUGACACAUUUGAAAAACCUAAAAGAAACAAUUCAAGCAGUGAAGAAUACAUUUUACUAUCUGAGAAUCUAAAAUCUUUGGUUAGGUGUAGCCCAGCAGACCCAGUUCCUCUCCACUCUCCACCCUCAACUAUGGCUCUUUUGGGAGCUUUCAUUCAUGUUCAGUAGGAAAGGAAAGGGGAAAAAAAAAAAAAGCCAGUGUCAGUAGGUAAAAGAGUUAAUCAUCUUUCUCAUGAUCUCCAUUAAUUUUAUUUAAACAAAAUACAAAUUAAACAAAGAGUGAUCAGAAAUUUGAUUUGAUAAUAAGUAAAGGCCAACUUUAGGACGAAGCAAACCUAAAUAGCUUACUAGAUAUUACAUAAAUCUCAAGUGACAAUAUUUCAUUCUUCCUAGUCCUCAAUGGCAAUCUGACCAGAAUUUAUUCUUUUUUUUUUCAGAAUUUAUUCUUAUUCAAAGAUAAUCUCACACAAGUGAUACUACAGUCCUAAUAGAAAAAUCACUAUCAUUACAGAAGUGUACCAACUAAGGUAUAAAUGUCAGCAUUCUGGCAGUACUCUAAGGAAGACACUGAAAAAUAGGGCAGAGUAUUUUUAAACCAAUAGGCUUGUAAACCUAUACUUGGUGUAUAAAGUUCUGGCUUACUUUGCCAGCAGUCAUCUCUUGCAGAUGCUUCAAGAGAAGAGUUGCUGAAAAAAACAAAGCGAGUGCAGAAGACUUGUUCAAAUAUAGAAAAUAUUACCCUUGAACUAUGAACUCCUAAGAAAGUUUUGAAGUUUCAAAGUAUUUGGAAUCUUUAAAUGUGGACUGGAAAAUGUGGAUACUGGAAAAAAAAUUACUUUGUGUUCUUUUGCUAUGAGCUUAAGGUCUCUACUGUAACAGUGUUCGUUACAAGGAAUAUGUAGGACAAGGCUAAAGACUGAAGCGAGAGACAAUGCACGGAUCUAUUAAAAAAUCUGAACAGAUUGAAAAUUAAUUUUUAUGGUUGAAAAACUGAAAAAGCUCCCUUCCUGCUGGAAAUGAAAGCAAACUGUUGUGAAGUGAAAUUAACCGAAAAUGCCACGAGGGUAUGUGCCAAUCCUCCACGUGUGCUUCCCAGGCCAGCUGAACCAUCUACAAAGAUGACAGCAGGAAUGCAGAUGAAAAGAUGUUGCUCAAAAUUUGGCAUAAUGCUGUAUAUCUCUCGUUCUUUUUAAUAUUUUUAACUCUGAGAAAGAUGUAUGACAUGAUAAAACCAUUCAGUUUUUACCUCCAAAUCUGAGGUCUCAAAUAAAAUACUGUUAUCAAAUAAAAUUAGAGAUAAUUUUUAAAUGCAUUACUUAGUAUGAACAUACUAUAUGAAAACAUCAUGUCUAAAAUAAGAUGGGAAAAGAAUAGCUUUGUUUAUUUAUAGAAGGAAGAAGAUAGAAGAAUUAACAUUUACUGAGUAACUAGCAUGUGGCAAACAUAGUUUGGCACUACCUGGAUAUACAAGAUAACAAGACAGUGCCAGACUAAGCCAAAUGCAACGCAGUUUCUAAUUAAUUCCCAGUUCUAAUGUUGGUGUAGUCCCUUUUUAUCUUAGGGAACUUCAGUGGGUUUCUUCUUUGUAACAUUUCACUAUGCUAUAAAGCUUGGCUAGGUUCUCAAGUUUUUCCUAUCUCCCUGUAUUAAAAUUUAUCAAGUGUCUCAUUCCCUCUGAACGCUAAAAGUGUGACUGAGAGAAAUUGAGAUGAACAGACAAACUGUUUAUGCGGGAAGACUGUAUAAUAACACAACUAUUAUUAUU